GACGAACGCUGGCGGCGUGCCUAAUACAUGCAAGUCGAGCGGACGGAUGGGAGCUUGCUCCCGGACCGUCGGCGGCGGCCGGGGGAGUAACCGGUGGUCAACCUCCCUGUAAGACUGGGAUAACUCCGGGAAACCGGGGCUAAUCCCGGAAAACUCUUUCCCUCCCUUGAGGGGAAUCUGAAAUAUGGCAUCUCGCUAUCGCUUACAGGUCUGCUCGGGGCGCAUUGGAUAGUUGGUGAGGUAACGGCUUACCAAGGCGGCGAUGCGUAGCCGAAGUGAGGGGGGGAUAGGCGACCUGGGGAGGUAGACACGGCCCAGACGCCUACGGGAGGCAGCAGUAGGGAAUCUUCCGCAAUGGACGAAAGUCUGACGGAGCAACGCCGCGUGUGUGAUGAAGGCUUUCGGAUCGGAAAACCGGGUUGUGAGGGAAGAACAAGUACCGGAGUAACUGACGGGAGCGUGACGGUACCUGGCAAGAAAGCCACGGCUAACUACGUG
rnacentral:rRNA from 1 species